rfam:Citrus sinensis cultivar Ridge Pineapple sweet orange scaffold00007_contig_170, whole genome shotgun sequence.
CGGCUGUAGCUAAAUUAAAUCAAAUGGCUGAGAGGUUUACUGGCCGGUGGUUGUGUUUCCAGUCGACUAAUCUGCUUACCGAACCUCUUACACUU